rnacentral:rRNA from 1 species
UAAUACGUAGGUGGCCAAGNGUUNUCCGGGAUUUAUUGGGCGUNAAAGCGAGCGCAGNCGGAAGAAUAAGUCUGAUGUGAAAGCCCUCGGCUUAACCCGAGNAACUGCAUCGGAAACUGUUUUUUCUUGAGUGCAGAAGAGGAGAGUGGAACUCCAUGUGUAGCGGUGGAAUGCGUAGAUAUAUGGAAGAACACCAGUGGCGAAGGCGGCUCUCUGGUCUGCAACUGACGCUGAGGCUCGAAAGCAUGGGUAGCGAACAGGAUUAGAUACCCUGGUAGUCCAUGCCGUAAACGAUGAGUGCUAAGUGUUGGGAGGUUUCCGCCUCUCAGUGCUGCAGCUAACGCAUUAAGCACUCCGCCUGGGGAGUACGACCGCAAGGUUGAAACUCAAAGGAAUUGACGGGGGCCCGCACAAGCGGUGGAGCAUGUGGUUUAAUUCGAAGCAACGCGAAGAACCUUACCAGGUCUUGACAUCUAGUGCCAUUUGUAGAGAUACAAAGUUCCCUUCGGGGACGCUAAGACAGGUGGUGCAUGGCUGUCGUCAGCUCGUGUCGUGAGAUGUUGGGUUGAGUCCCGCAACGAGCGCAACCCUUGUUAUUAGUUGCCAGCAUUAAGUUGGGCACUCUAAUGAGACUGCCGGUGACAAACCGGAGGAAGGUGGGGAUGACGUCAAGUCAUCAUGCCCCUUAUGACCUGGGCUACACACGUGCUACAAUGGGCAGUACAACGAGAAGCGAGCCUGCGAAGGCAAGCGAAUCUCUGAAAGCUGUUCUCAGUUCGGACUGCAGUCUGCAACUCGACUGCACGAAGCUGGAAUCGCUAGUAAUCGCGGAUCAGCAGCGCCGCGGUGAAUACGUUCCCGGGCCU